AUUGAACGCUGGCGGCAGGCCUAACACAUGCAAGUCGAGCGGAUGAAGGGAGCUUGCUCCUGGAUUCAGCGGCGGACGGGUGAGUAAUGCCUAGGAAUCUGCCUGGUAGUGGGGGAUAACGUCCGGAAACGGGCGCUAAUACCGCAUACGUCCUGAGGGAGAAAGUGGGGGAUCUUCGGACCUCACGCUAUCAGAUGAGCCUAGGUCGGAUUAGCUAGUUGGUGGGGUAAAGGCCUACCAAGGCGACGAUCCGUAACUGGUCUGAGAGGAUGAUCAGUCACACUGGAACUGAGACACGGUCCAGACUCCUACGGGAGGCAGCAGUGGGGAAUAUUGGACAAUGGGCGAAAGCCUGAUCCAGCCAUGCCGCGUGUUUGAAGAAGGUCUUCGGAUUUUAAAGCACUUUAAGUUGGGAGGAAGGGCAGUAAGUUAAUACCUUGCUGUUUUGACGUUACCAACAGAAUAAGCACCGGCUAACUUCGUG
rnacentral:rRNA from 1 species